rnacentral:rRNA from 1 species
UACGAAGGGUGCAAGCGUUACUCGGAAUUACUGGGCGUAAAGGGUGCGUAGGCGGUUCGUUAAGUCUGUCGUGAAAUCCCCGGGCUCAACCUGGGAAUGGCGAUGGAUACUGGCGAGCUAGAGUGUGUCAGAGGAUGGUGGAAUUCCCGGUGUAGCGGUGAAAUGCGUAGAGAUCGGGAGGAACAUCAGUGGCGAAGGCGGCCAGCUGGGACAACACUGACGCUGAAGCACGAAAGCGUGGGGAGCAAACAGG